rnacentral:rRNA from 1 species
GGGGGGGGGGGGGGGGGGGGGGGGGGGGGGGGGGGAGGGGGGGGGGGGAGUGGCUUGGUGCGCGGGGUGAGUUGCGGACGGAUGGGUGGCGGGUAGGUUACCUGGCUGGUAGCGGGGGAUGCCUAGUUGACACUAUAGCUCAUCCCGCAUCAGACGCGAUGGUGCCUGGCCUUUGCUUCAAAGGUGCACGUGCCUCACUAGCAGAUGGCCAUGUGUUUAAUUUGCUAGUGUGAGAGGUAACGGAUCACGAAGGCGACGAUACAUAGGCGACCUGGGAGGGUGAUCGGCCACACUGGUACUGAGACACGGCCCAGACUCCUACGGGAGGCAGCAGUAGGGAAUCUUCGGCAAUGGACGGAAGUCUGACCGAGCAACGCAGCGUGAGUGAAGAAGGUUGUCGGAUCGUAAAGCUCUGUUGUAAGAGAAGAACGAGUGUGAGAGUGGAAAGUUCACACUGUGACGGUAUCUUACCAGAAAGGGACGGCUAACUACGUG